rnacentral:lncRNA from 1 species
UUUAAAAGUUAUUCAUGCACAAAGCACAUGUUACAAAGUAAAUUAUUUGAGAUAAGACAGCAUUUCUCAAUUAUGAAGAGAUAGAGUGCAUCCAUGUUGAAGUUUUAGACAUAAAUUCUUCAAUUUCUUCACAUUGUACCCAUGAUGGAAUCUCGAUCAUACUAAAAUUCUCACUUCCAUUUUUUGUAUUUCUUCUAUAUUCAUUAUCGUUGCCAUCUUUUCCAUCAUUAUCAAGAUCAAAAUAAUUUUUAAAACUCUCAUUUCAAUAAUCUACUAGCAACAACAUAAUUUGCAACAUUGUGGGUGACCAUAUGGACCACAUGUUGUGAACUCACAAUUAACACAACAUCUUGAAAUAAC